GUUUAAGAUGAGUUGCAUUAGAUGUAAAAGCUUUAACAUAAUAAUCUUUCAGAAGCCUAGAUAAGCAUAGCAGAGAAGAGAUAGAUAGGCAAAAUAAAGAAAAAUAAAUAAAUGACACCAGGCAGUGCCCCAGGGUGCUGGCUGAGUGUUUUUGCAUUCCUUUUGAAUUUUUUUCCUUUUUAAGUAAAAGGCUUUUUUUUUUUUUUGGUCCUAAAUCCAAACAGAACAGUGUUCUUUAUAGCAGUUCAUUUAAAGGAAAAGGAAAAAGCUGAGAAUGGGAAGUCUUCAGUGAAAGAGGCUGAGACAAAACUCCAGGCCAGGACUGUGAAAUCCAAUCAUUCCUGAGAGCCCCACAAAAUCAGCUUUGCUUGCAGCUGCUCACGCCACCGCUGAUUCUUGCUGUUGCUUUUUCAGCACGUAACGGGGGAGCAAGUACACCUAAUCUGGGACUCUGCUUUGCAGUGAGCUCUGUGAAUAGGAUCACAGUGAGACUCAACGGACCAUAGAGAUGCUCUGAUUAGAAAUCCUCUCAUUAACCAAAGAGUUCCAGGAAAUAAAUCAAAUUAAAACCCAGAGCA
rnacentral:lncRNA from 1 species